UCGUAUGUACGCGGAGGGACAUUGCUGGAACGCGCCCCAGGCGCACCCAGAAACCCUUUGUGAACUUAUACCUUACUGUUGCCUCGGCGCAUGCCGGCCCCCCCGGGGGCCCCUCGGAGACGAGGAGCAGGCACGCCGGCGGCCAAGUUAACUCUUGUUUUUACACUGAAACUCUGAGAAAAAAACACAAAUGAAUCAAAACUUUCAACAACGGAUCUCUUGGUUCUGGCAUCGAUGAAGAACGCAGCGAAAUGCGAUAAGUAAUGUGAAUUGCAGAAUUCAGUGAAUCAUCGAAUCUUUGAACGCACAUUGCGCCCUCUGGUAUUCCGGAGGGCAUGCCUGUUCGAGCGUCAUUUCAACCCUCAAGCACUGCUUGGUGUUGGGGCACUGCUUUUACCCAAAAGCAGGCCCUGAAAUCUAGUGGCGAGCUCGCCAGGACCCCGAGCGCAGUAGUUAAACCCUCGCUCUGGAAGGCCCUGGCGGUGCCCUGCCGUUAAACCCCCAACUUCUGAAAAUUUGACCUCGGAUCAGGUAGGAAUACCCGCUGAACUUAAGCAUACA
rnacentral:rRNA from 1 species